GAUGAACGCUGACAGAAUGCUUAACACAUGCAAGUCGACUUGAAUUUGGGUUUUUUACUUAGGUUUGGGUGGCGGACGGGUGGGUAACGCGUAAAGAACUUGCCUCCCAGCUAGGGACAACAAUUUGAAAGGAAUGCUAAUACCUAAUAUAAUAUUAAUAGAGCAUCCUAUAUUAAUGAAAACUAUAAGCGCUGUGAGAGAGCUUUGAGUCACAUUAGCUGGUUGGAGAGGUAGCGGCUCACCAAGGCGAGGAUGGGUAGCCGGUCUGGGAGGGUGAUCCGCCACAGGCGGACAGAGAAACGGCCAUUACUCCUACGGGCGGAAGCAGUGGGAAAUAGACGACACUGGACCGCGAGUCUGAUCAAGGACUUCUGUGUGUAAGAUGAAGUUUUUCGGAAUGUAAAGUGCUUUCAGUUGGGAAGCAACAAAUGACGGUACCAAAAGAAGAAGUGACGGCUAACUACGUG
rnacentral:rRNA from 1 species